GCAGUCGUGGCCGAGUGGUUAAGGCGAUGGACUUGAAAUCCAUUGGGGUGUCCCCGCACAGGUUCGAAUCCUGUCGGCUGCG
rnacentral:tRNA from 1 species